GACGAACGCUGGCGGCGUGCUUAACACAUGCAAGUCGAACGGAAAGGCCCUGCUUUUGUGGGGGGCUCGAGUGGCGAACGGGUGAGUAACACGUGAGAAACCUGCCCUUGACGUGGGGAUAACUUCGGGAAACUGGGGCUAAUACCGGAUAGGAACUCCUUGGGCAUGGUGGGGGUUGGAAAGUUUCGGCGGUUGGGGAUGGACUCGCGGCUUAUCAGCUUGUUGGUGGGGUAGUGGCUUACCAAGGCUUUGACGGGUAACCGGCCUGAGAGGGUGACCGGCCACAUUGGGACUGAGAUACGGCCCAGACUCCUACGGGAGGCAGCAGUGGGGAAUAUUGCACAAUGGGCGGAAGCCUGAUGCAGCAACGCCGCGUGCGGGAUGACGGCCUUCGGGUUGUAAACCGCUUUCGCCUGUGACGAAGCGUGAGUGACGGUAAUGGGUAAAGAAGCACCGGCUAACUACGUG
rnacentral:rRNA from 1 species